rnacentral:lncRNA from 1 species
CCCCACCUGUUUAGUAGUUUAAUAGUAGAUAAGUAGUAAAUAAGUUUAAGACCUUAACCAUACAUUCUAAUCUUAAUUAGCUGAGUCCUAGGAUUGAUAUUUUGGUUGCCCUAUGCUACAUUAGUGGGGACCAGUUCUUUGUUCUGCCUUAGGCGACUAAAAGGCAGUUUAACAAAUGGCGGCAUUGUCGGGGACUCGGCGAAUUGAGUUUUAGAGUGUUAGGUUAGUCUUGUUUAGGUUUGUUUCUUUUUUCAUAUUUUUUUUAGUUUGCUUAGGGUCUAUUUCUGAAGUUUUAGCUUGUUUAGAUUGCAAAUAGCUUUUAGAUUUUUC